UUCUAAAAACCCUUUUAGUAAAACCUGCUCAAUGAUACAUUUCAAUAGCCGCAGAUAUUUUUCUGUGCUAAGGUAGCCUAAUCAUUUGCCUUAUAAUUCAAGGCUAGAAUGAAUGGUUUAACAUGUUAUAUACUUUAUUAUUCUGAUUACUUUAAAUUAACAUAAUUGUCAAAAGGCAAUUAUUCUCAGAGGGACGACAAGACCCCGUCGAACUUCACAUUUAUGUUUAGCUGGGGCGGCAAAAAAACUAUAUCUUUCAAUAAACUUUCCUACUACCCUAUUUGAUUUUAUCAAGUUACCGCGGGGAUAACAGCAUAAUUUUUUCUUUUAGAUCUUAUUUCAGAAAAAGAUUGUGACCUCGAUGUUGAAUUAUUUUUACUAUUAGGAGCAAAAUCUUAUUUAGUUAGUCUGUUCGACUUUUAAACAUUUACAU
rnacentral:rRNA from 1 species